rnacentral:rRNA from 1 species
GACGAACGCUGGCGGCGUGCUUAACACAUGCAAGUCGAACGGAAAGGCCCUGCUUUUGUGGGGUGCUCGAGUGGCGAACGGGUGAGUAACACGUGAGUAACCUGCCCUUGACUUUGGGAUAACUUCAGGUAACUGGGGCUAAUACCGGAUAGGAGCUCCUGCUGCUUGGUGGGGGUUGGAAAGUUUCGGCGGUUGGGGAUGGACUCGCGGCUUAUCAGCUUGUUGGUGGGGUAGUGGCUUACCAAGGCUUUGACGGGUAGCCGGCCUGAGAGGGUGACCGGCCACAUUGGGACUGAGAUACGGCCCAGACUCCUACGGGAGGCAGCAGUGGGGAAUAUUGCACAAUGGGCGGAAGCCUGAUGCAGCAACGCCGCGUGCGGGAUGACGGCCUUCGGGUUGUAAACCGCUUUCGCCUGUGACGAAGCGUGAGUGACGGUAAUGGGUAAAGAAGCACCGGCUAACUACGUG